rnacentral:rRNA from 1 species
AAUUUUGGACAAUGGGUGCAAUCCUGAUCCAGCCAUGCCGCGCGAGUGAAUAAUGCCCNCUGUAANANAAGCUCUUUUGGUAGGANGGAAAUCGCGCAGGCUAAUCCCCGGCGCGGAUGACUGUACCGCCAUAAGUAGCAUCGGCUAACUACGUGCCAUCAGCUGCGGUAAAUCGGAUGUUGCGAUCGUUAACCGGAAUUACUGGGCGUCAAGCGUGCGCAGGCGGUUGAUUAAGACAGUCGUGAAAUCCCCGGGCUUAACCUGGGACCUGAGCUUGUGGAUGGUCAGCUAGAGUAAGGCAGGGGGGGGUGGAAUUCCACGUGUAGCAGUGAAAUGCGUAGAGAUGUGGAGGAACACCGAUGGCGAAGGCAGCCCCCUGGGCCGAUACUGACGCUCAUGCACGAAAGCGUGGGUAGCAAACAGG